UAAGAGCCAAGUGAUAUUUACUCCGUAUCUCGUAGGAUGACCAUUGCUGAGCCAAAGGCGUACGGCAGUUACUGCAGCUGGACAUCGGUGGACGUAGAUGUUAUGGUCAAUCUGAGUCACGGUAGUGCAUUUUCCCUGUUUCAGUGUUGGUUUUGUAAAUUCUGUUGUAGCUACGAAAACGAACAGGGAAACAGCACUCAGAAAGGACAAGGUGUAGCAGAACAUCUCCGGACAUCUAUUUACCAUGACGACCUACAGUAAAAUGAGACAACUCGUCAUGGAUUUCAAUAUUUAUUGGUAUGAGGACGGCGACAUUUUCCUUGGAGUUGAUGAUCCUGGGUAACGUCCCGCAUGCCGCACACAUCAUCACCCGAUUGGGACCAGGAAUCGCCAGCGUUGGCUGGCUGUUCGACAUCGGACCAGUGAUCGCCAGUCAUUUCGUCGUCGGUGGUGGCAGGUAGUUCUCCGGAACCCAAGUCCUUCUACGACUUCCAGAAGGUUGCAACAGCCGGUCCAACGUGUCCGAAGGAUCAUCGUCGUCAUCAUUGCAUCAGUGUACAAGUAAGCAUCAUGUCUUCGUCGAUCUUGCAUAAACUUGACAAGUUAAAGAAAUGUGGAGAGUUUCAAAAAAUGGCGACAAUUCCUAAAAACAUCAAGUAUGAUGUGGUUGAUGUUAACAAAAUUGAAACGAGGUAUGGCGAGGCGGUCUACGUAGA